rnacentral:rRNA from 1 species
CAGUAGCCGCGGGAAUACGUAGGUGGCAAGCGUUGUCCGGAAUUAUUGGGCGUAAAGCGCGCGCAGGCGGAUCAGUUAGUCUGUCUUAAAAGUUCGGGGCUUAACCCCGUGAGGGGAUGGAAACUGCUGAUCUAGAGUCUCGGAGAGGAAAGUGGAAUUCCUAGUGUAGCGGUGAAAUGCGUAGAUAUUAGGAAGAACACCAGUGGCGAAGGCGACUUUCUGGACGAAAACUGACGCUGAGGCACGAAAGUGUGGGUAGCAAACAGGAUUAGAUACCCGAGUAGUCCCUGUCUCUUAUACA